CAACAAUCAUAAAAAGAGUGCUCUUGAAGACUGACGCGCCAAAACCGUUCAGUGGUUCUCAGUGGCAGCCACGACACCUAGCUGGAGAGUUGGAAGAAAGUGAAUUUCCUCUGCAAGAACUGUAGUAGCCUACUGUUUAUUUUCAGAAGAAUAAAUUAAGAGACAACUAAACCAAAUGACAACAAUCAUAAAAAGAGUGCUCUUGAAGACUGACGCGCCAAAACCGUUCAGUGGUUCUCAGUGGCAGCCACGACACCUAGCUGGAGAGUUGGAAGAAAGUGAAUUUCCUCUGCAAGAACUGUAGUAGCCUACUGUUUAUUUUCAGAAGAAUAAAUUAAGAGACAACUAAACCAAAUGACAACAAUCAUAAAAAGAGUGCUCUUGAAGACUGACGCGCCAAAACCGUUCAGUGGUUCUCAGUGGCAGCCACGACACCUACCUGGAGAGUUGGAAGAAAGUGAAUUUCCUCUGCAAGAACUGUAGUAGCCUACUGUUUAUUUUCAGAAGAAUAAAUUAAGAGACAACUAAACCAAAUGACAACAAUCAUAAAAAGAGUGCUCUUGAAGACUGACGCGCCAAAACCGUUCAGUGGUUCUCAGUGGCAGCCACGACACCUACCUGGAGAGUUGGAAGAAAGUGAAUUUCCUCUGCAAGAACUGUAGUAGCCUACUGUUUAUUUUCAGAAGAAUAAAUUAAGAGACAACUAAACCAAAUGACAACAAUCAUAAAAAGAGUGCUCUUGAAGACUGACGCGCCAAAACCGUUCAGUGGUUCUCAGUGGCAGCCACGACACCUAC